GAGUGCAGUGGCUAGAUCAGGGCUCACUGUAGCCUCGACCUCCCAGGAUCAAGCGAUCCUCCCACCCCAGCCUCCCUAGUAACUGGGAUUACAAGUGUGCACCACCAUGCCCAGCUAAUUUGGGUUUCGCCAUGUUACCCAGGCUGGUCUCAAACUCCUGGGCUCAAACAACUCACCCACCUCUGCCUCCCAAAGUGCUGGGAUUACAGGCAUGAGUCACUGUGCCUGGUGCCCCCUUCCCCAACUCUUAAUCCCCCAACUCCCCAGCUCCAAGAUUGGCAAGUGACCCAGACCCAGCCAAUCAAACAUACUCUGUGAUGGCAUCAGGAGGUGGGUUCGUGAGCCCAGCUUGUCUGAUCUGAGUCAGUCCCUGGACCUCUGCUGGGGAAUUGGGGAAGAGGCUUCUCUUUUCUACUGACCUUGCUGGGCUGAUGGGAGGAUCAGGAUCUGCUGGGGCAUCUUUGCCACCUCAUGAGAACUGUGUGACCCAGAAGGGAGCCCACCCAGGAGGACGCCAGCCUGAGAAAUGGAAGAGAACCCUUCCUGAUGAUGUCAUUUUGCACCAAGAUCCAGCUGUGCCUGUAGUCAAAUACUGCCGGGACAUUAAGUUUCUGGAGUGAAGAUAUUCAUGUUUUCACUCAUUUAAGUUUGAGUGGGUAUUCUGUCCUUUGUGAUCAAGAGUGCUGCCUGAUAGAGGUUGCAGUGAGCCGAGAUCGUGCCACUGCACUCCACUCCAGCCUGGCGACAGAGAGAGUCUCUGUCUCAAAAAAAAAAAAAAAGUGCUGCCCGAUAGAUGACAGUUCCCCCUUUUUGUCUCAGUGACUUUUAGAGCUUUUGGAGGUCUCCUGUUGGGGGCCCUAGGCUGUAGGGAGGAGAUUCAUAUUUGUCCUGUAUUCUUGGGAAACCUUUGAGCUAAGAUUGGACUGAAAUGGCCUCAGGUGCUCUAAUCAAAUUGAGACCUGGUCCAAUCCCUGUGGGCCCCUAAACCAAAGGUGAAUAAGGUGCCUGCCUAGCAGGAGGUUGUGACCUCCAGGCUGAUGGUGGGGUGAGAGCUGGGAGUCUGGAUGGAGCAGAUGUAGGCAGACAACAGGAUGAGAUUUGAAGGCCACAGCUAAGAAUGACAUUGAAGAUCAAGACCUGUGCUGUCCUCCAUGGCAGUCACUGGGCACCUGGGGUUAUUUCAGUUUAUAUCAAUGAAAACUAAAUAGCUUUAAAAAUUCAGUUCCUCAGUCACGCUAGCCACAUUUUGAGUGCUCCAUAGUCACAUGUGGCUAGCGGCUGCUAUAUUGGACAGUGCAGACACAGAAUAUUUUCACCAUGUGCAGAAAGUUGUACUCAACAACACGAGACAGACAUAUAAGGUUUUGAGUCCAGAAAACAUCAAGUUGGAGAGAGGCAGUAGCAAGAAAAAAAGAGCAACAAUAAGGGGGACUGUGACCAAGAGGUCCCCACUCAUUCAUUCCAUCCUUCCUUCAUUCAUCUCUUCACCUCACAUUGAUUGAGCUCCUAUCAGGCACCCUCUAUGACUGCAGGCUCCAGGGAAACACAAGAGAAUUACACAGAUGUAGCCUCAGACCACACAGAGCUCACAUUUAGUCUGAGGAGUCAGACCCUAAGGGAGGUAAAUAAGUCACUAAACAAGACAAUUCCAGAAAAUAAUAAAUGCCAACAUGAAAAGAGAGCAGGUAAUAGGACACAGCGUCUUUGGUGGGAGGAUCAGGCCUCAAGUUUGGGGAGACGUGUCAUCUUUGGGCAGCUAAAAACUACAGGGCUCAGAAAACCUCAGACAUACAGAAAGGAGAGGAAUGCACUGCUCUAUAGCCCACUCCCUGGAAGGCUGGGAAGCCCUGGUCCAGGGAAAGCACAGGGUUCUAGGAAUUGGGAACGGGACCCAACCACAAGGACAGGAAGUGGACAGGGGCCUCCAGGAAGCAGAGAAGAAACGAAGCACAGAAGUGGCCAUGGGGCCAUCAUGGAGUCUGUUUCACGGACAGAAACACAAAGGGGCUGUUAGGAACAGCCACCUCUGGCCAGCCCCGCCUGUGAUUGUGACCUGACAACUCGUGGUUUGUGAAGGUUGUUUGUUUCAGAGGCAUUUCGCCUCUCUGCUUUUGGAACCUCCACGAGUGGACUUUUGUCUUGGGGCUCACAGUAUUUUACCCCCUUCAGGGAGGUGGCUGGUUGUAGUUUAGCAAAACAGCCACUGACAUCGCUGCUCCUUCAGCCUCUGCAGACAGAGCUGCAAGAUCCUCGAGGCCUUUUUAAUCCCCAGAAACAAGGUGUUAAAACAGACCAAAAUGUGUUCUCCCGCCCAGAAGCAAGCAAAGCCAACCCCAGCUGCAGUUCCCUGACAGUCCAGUGAAUUCAGCCAAAGGAAAUGGCCCCACAUGGAGGGCAAGUGACAGAAGACCUGAUGACUCCGGUGGCUCAGCGGAGAGUGCAUUAAUAGGCUUGACCACUUCUGCUCGAUCUUCAGGCAAGCUGGGUCUGACCCCUGGACACUGUCCCCUGGAGCCCCUGGCCUCCACGUGUCCACCCACUGCCAUGGUCAUGGCUCCUCAGCAGGAGGAGGCCCAGCAGCCUCCAGGUGCCCCUGCCUGGUGCUAGCUGCCCACCGAAGCUCUAGCCUCACACUCUCAGGUUCAAAUCCAGCGACAAGAGCGGAUCCCACAAAGGCCACGAGAGUCACCCUAAACGGUCAGCUUAGGUCCUUCGUUCACUGAGCCCAUCGCUGUCCAGGGCAAGUGGUGCUGGCUGGGCUAGGUCCAGCUCCCGUGUCCACCCUGGGACCUGAGGUUCAGGGUCAGCUCACCCUAGACACAUGGAUCGAGUGGGGAGGGUGAAUCCUCAAAUGCUAAUCAGGUUCUGUUGUACAGAAGGGGAAGCGGAGGCAGGAGGAUGCAGCAAGACCUGUUCCCUCCUCUAACGGCACUCAUAGGACAGCCCAGCCACACAUUCAAAGAAUCUUGAAGGAAUAGGAUGGUUGGUAUGGUUGGUGUGGAAGAAGGUUCAUAAAUUCUGGAUUUAGCUUUGUGGGAUUCAGCUGACCUGAAAUUUAUACCUGUGCAGGUAGGUGGUUGCUGGGUAGGGUGACCACUACUGUCUCUCUCCAUCACCCAGGGCUGUUUUCAGCUCAAAGCCACAGAAGCCCAGGCAUGGUGGCAUCUCCGGGGGAAGUUGCCUUAUUCCAGAUUCACAGGUCCGGGGCGAAGGGGCCAGGCAGGGCAGGUGUGGGGCGGCAGGAUAUCGCCCUGGGCCUGGCUCCUUCUGCCUUUCUGCCACCAUCUUCAGCGGUGCCAUUACCUCGAGGCCUUCUGUGGUUGCUGGAGCUGCCACGCUCGGCCUCCUGUCUGCCUCCAGAUGGGAGAGGAGGAAGGAGGAGGUGAGAGCAGGAAAGAGCUUACAUAAAAGACCACAUUUUCCCAGAAUCCCCAGCAGCUGCCUGUUCUCCCCCUCCACUGGGCUAGAGCUGUGUCACACAGGCUGAGCGGCCAGGAAGCUGGGCACCAUCCAGGGAGUGUGUGAUCGUCGGGGUCCUGUUGAUUCCUGCUUUUGAGUAAUGAAGGUGACCAAACCACAUGACCCUGUCUGCAAAGAUUCCACCUGGACUCCCAGUUCCUCCAAGGAACCGUCAUGUGGUUCAAAUCCAAUGAAAUUCUCUAAAUCUCCACCCUCCUCAGGGUGCAGAGUUGGCUGCUUCUCUGUGCCCCCUGCUGAUCACGGCAACCCCUGGGUGCCUCGGCCUGCGAAGCCCCAGCUGUCCUCCGUCUGCAGACAAGCCGAGGUAUGAAAGCCUCCUCGCUGGCCCAGGAGCCUGUCAUUGUCCUCCAGCAGCUCUAGCCUGGAUGCGGUCCCAGAGAUAAAUCAUAUCUCUUUAAAAAGCCACAGUGGCCCAUUAUUUCUGCUUGAAAAUACCCCUGGCUCUCUGCUGGUGAGCUGGUUGACAGGCCCCGGCUGUUGUGCUCAGUGCUGCAAAGAGUCACGUCAGUCUGUCGACUUGUGUAGUGAGCAAGCUGGUAGCUUCAGAUGGUAUGCACAUGAAAUCCCGUCCUGGCAUCCAGGACUUGGCUGGGGGUUGCAGAGAGAACCACAUCUGCAAAAGAGUUGGUAUUUUACAGUCCCAGCCUCACGUCCUUGUGAAAUGCCCUGUUCAUACUGGGCUACAGGGGCGGGAGCAAAAAUGAUACAAUGACAAUUCCUGGGCUGUGUUCUGCAAUAUUCUACAACACUUCCACAAGAAAACUCCAAUCUUUAAAAAUAGACUGAGCACAAUUAAACAAUCACUAUAGAUAUUUCUUUUCUUUUUUUUUUUUUUGAGAUGGAGUCUCACUCUGUCGCCCAGGCUGGAGUGCAGUGGCGCGAUCUCUGCUCACUGCAAGCUCCGCCUCCCGGGUUCACGCCAUUCUCCUGCCUCAGCCACCCGAGUAGCUGGGACUACAGGCGCCCACCACCACGCCCGGCUAAUUUUUUUGUAUUUUUAGUAGAGACGGGGUUUCACUGUGUUAGCCAGGAUGGUCUCGAUCUCCUGACCUCAUGAUCCACCCGCCUCGGCCUCCCAAAGUGCUGGGAUUACAGGCGUGAGCCGCCGCGCCCGGCCCACUAUAGAUAUUUCAACCAGAGGAAUAUAGUGAAUCAUGAUCUACCCAUCACCCAGGUUCAACAGCUCUCAGGGUUUGCCCCCUUCCUUCCAGCUCUUUCCCCUCUUUCUGCCAAAUUAUUUUAAAGCAAAUCCCAGACCUCAAGUGGACAUUUUCUAACAAAGUUGCAAUAUCCUAAACAUCUCCGAUGUUCAAAUUCCCCCAGGUGUUGCUCAGAUAUUUUUUUCUGGUUGCUUUUCCAGAAAUUCAACAAGGACCACACGGCAUUUGGUUGUUAAGUUUCUAACUUCUCUUUGGUUGACAGUGAUCCCCUCUCCUUCAUUUUACUUUUAAUGCCACUGCUUGUUGAAUUCCUGGGAGCAGUUGCUCUGUGGGAUGCCCCACAUCCAGGAUUUGUCAGUCUGCUGCCUCAUGGUGUCAUUUCAAUUCCUUCUGCAGAUGGAUGCCGCUGGACAUCCUUGCCAAGGUGUGUCAGUUUCAAUUAAACCCAGAAUGGGGUGUUGGAGCUCAAAGGAGCCAUUGUCAAGCCAUUGCCUGAGCAAAGGAAGGUGUUUUUUUUUUUUUUUCUUCCUGUCGCCCAGGCUGGAGUGCAGUGGUAUGAUCUCGGCUCACUGCAACCUCUGCCUCCUGGGUUCAAGCAAUUCUCCUGCCUCAGCCUUUUGAGUAGCUGGGAUUACAGGCAUGUGCCACCAUGCUCAGCUAAUUUUUGUAUUUUUUUAGUAGAGAUGGGGUUUCACCAUGUUGGUCAGGCUGGUCUCAAACUCCUGACCUCGUGAUUUGCCUGCCGUGGCCUCCCAAAGUGCUGGGAUUGCAGGUGUGAGCCACCGUGCCUGGCCUGUGUUUUAAGAUGAUUUCCUGGAUUCUUGUUGAACUACCAAGGCAGGUGUUUGCUCCCAGGCUUCACCAUCAAAUUCCCUAACGGCUGUGUUCUGGGUUGAGUCACUUUAAUGAGCUGCCCUGCCGUUCCCAGGUGAGAUGUCAAUUAGAAUUUGCAAUCCCAAUACCAGGGCCACGUUCUCACCACCUGAAGAAACCCUAACAGUCGAGACAGAAUGAAUGAAGGACAGAUCAAUGGGCUGGGUCUGUACAAGCACACCCAUAGGGCAACCCAAGGGCACGUUAUUUUGGUCUGAGUUAUCUCCUGAGUCAUGGACAUGAGUCUGGGAAGGUCAAGGUUCGCCUGUUAUCGUUAUGGAAAGACACUGACCUUAUGUGCUGGGCUGUGCCGUGGGCGCCUUCUUAUUACAUCCUCAGAACAGCCUCAGGAUGGCUCAUGAUUCCCUCAAUCACAGAUGAGGACCUGAGGCUCAGGAAAGAUACAUUUGCAUCUUGUAGGUCUGGGUUCAGCCUGGACCCACGGUUUCCAUGCUUGCCCUGACCCUUCAUUCCCUCCAUUCCCUCCCAGCAGCCAGUCAGUGGCUGUCCAGACAUGUGCACCAGCUGUGCUGCACCUCCACCAUAAAAACUCCUCCAAUCACUUCCCACUGCUCCCCAUGUGAACCCCAAGGGGGCUCACCCUGUCCCAGGAGGUUCUGCCUGAUCCACACCCCCCACCCCUUCCUGCAUCCCUGCAACCUGCUCUCCCUACGUCCUCAGUCCUGGCGUCCUCUCUGUUCCCUGGACUUGUCCAGCCCAGUCCUACCUCCAGGCCUUGGCACCUGCUGUGCCCUUGACCUGGCGUGAUCUCCUGAUGGCCGUUACUGGGCUGGAAACUUCUCAGUGCUCAGCUUGAGCUCAAAGCCCACCUCUUCAGAGAGGCUGUCCCCAUCCACUGUGGCCUUUCUUCCCUUUGCUCUUUCAAUUCCCAGUUUAUUUCCUGUAGAGCAGUUUCACCCUCUUCACCAAUCUUGUUUAUUUCCUUGUUUAUUGUGCCUCCUUUACCAGAACGUUCACCCUCUGAGGGCCUGGGCCAGGUCUGUCUGUUC